AAUCUUCCACAAUGGGCGAACGCCUGAUGGAGCAACGCCGCGUGAGUGAAUAAGGUUUUCGGAUCUUAAAACUCUGUUGUAAGGGAAGAACAAGUACAGGAGUAACUGGCUGUACCUUGACGGUACCUUAGUAGAAAGCCACGGCUAAAUACGUUCCAGCAGCCGCGGUAAUACGUAGGUGGCAAGCGUUGUCCGGUAUUAUUGGGCGUAAAGAGAGCGCAGGCGGUCCUUUAAGUCUGAUGGGAACGCCGAAGGCUCAACCGUGGAGGGUCAUUGGAAACAGGGGGACUUGAGUGAAGAAGAGGCAAGUGGAAUUCAAAGUGUAGCGGUGAAAUGCGUAGAGAUUUGGAGGAACACCAGUGGCGAAGGCGACUUUCUGGUCUGUAACUGACGCUGAGACGCGAAAGCGUGGGGAGCAAACAGG
rnacentral:rRNA from 1 species